rnacentral:lncRNA from 1 species
CUCUUGCUUUUGCUCUUGCACUCUUGCGCUCUUGCGCUCUGGCUCCUAAAGAUGUAAGCAAUAGAGCUCUUGCUCUCUUGCACUCUUGCUCCUGAAGAUGUAAGCAAUAAAGUUUUGCCGCAGAAGAUUCCGGUUUGUUGCGUUCUUCCUGGCCGGUCGCAAGAACGCGGGUAAGAUAUACCAGGUUUGUAAAUCCUAUUAGCAGACACUCCAACAAGGGCGGGCAGAGGCUGAAUAGUCGGCACAGGUACUUUUACACCUGAAACAGUAUUGCUUUUUCCUGUGUUCAUCAGGCACCUCCUACACUGGCAUCGUGAGUCAUCUGUUAGACCCACAGACAAGUGUCCACCAUAUAGGCUGCAACCUACCCAAAGGCUCUUGAGGGUGUUCCUCAAACUGAAUGAGAUCAGCGGGCUUCAGGAUGACAGGAUCUGGUCUUAGCUGAGGGGAUGGCAGGCAUGAAGGAACAGGAGCACAGAGCAGGUCAACGGGGGAGCUGCUGGCCAGGUGCAGAAGCUCCUGCUCCAUCUGGCUGGGUCCUGCAGAGAGGGAGGAGACAGACAGCUAUAGUCAGACAGGCACAGAGGUCUGCCUGAGGCUUUCCUCAGCCUCCGAAGUCAGCAUCAAGUAAUCAAGCAGCGCAUGCUCUUUCUCUCCCAUAGUCAUUCAUUCAUUCAUUCAUUCAUUCAUAUAUAUAUAUAUGUGUGUGUAUGUAUAUCAUAUAUCAUAUUAAUAUAUAUACAUAAACAAAAACAACCAAACACGUACGCCACUAUCAGAAAGAAGACUCAUGGCAAACAAUAAACCAAAGCCAACAGUCUGCUGAAGAUUUUUGUUCUUUAGAACAGUGGACUCUGAAGAGGCCCAAAAAGGAAAAGGGCCAUUGGAGGAGACACAAAAUUACAGAAGGUUGGGGACAGUGGAAGGAGGCAGCUAGGGUAAGAAGCCUCAGCAAUGUCAGAUGCUGGAAACAUUAACUUUUCUCUUAGAGCAGGAACAGUAAUCCUUCUAGCUACUUGUGAUGUUAUAAGAGCAUCCCUCUUAAUGGGAUCUUCAUACACACGGUGAAAUCCAAGUCUACAGAAUUCUGGAGUUGGUCCAUGACUUGGUUACCCAGACAAGUAUAUUUGCACCACUAUAUAUUAAUGUGCCAUGUUCAGGUCCUGAGCCAUUUCUUCCUAAGGUCUGUAUGCUGUGCUAUAUCCUUUCCAAAUCUAGUCCAAGCAAGAACCCUGAUGACCCAACUCAGCAUAGUCCACCCACUCACUCUGACCAAUCAUUAGCAAAAUUUCAUUCGACUAUCAGCACAAAUUCACCUACCCUUUCAUCUACUUCCGUCUACCCUUCCUGGUACUCUAUACCAAAUGGGGUUGGGUUCUCUUUCCUUCUAUUAUCACAGUUUUAAACAGUCAUUUUGGCAAGCAUU